UACGGAGGGAGCUAGCGUUAUUCGGAAUUACUGGGCGUAAAGGGCUCGUAGGCGGCCAACUAAGUCAGAUGUGAAAGCCCCGGGCUCAACCUGGGAACUGCAUUUGAAACUGGCGGGCUUGAGUGUGGCAGAGGGGGGUGGAAUUCCGCGUGUAGCAGUGAAAUGCGUAGAGAUGCGGAGGAACACCGAUGGCGAAGGCAGCCCCCUGGGCCAACACUGACGCUCAGGCACGAAAGCGUGGGGAGCGAACAGG
rnacentral:rRNA from 1 species